CAGGUGUCCUACGGACUUAAUAGGGAAUCCGGUAUAAGCCGGAGCGGUCCCGCCACUGUAAGGUGGAGUCCUGCACAUCAUGUCACUGGGGUAGAAAUGCGUACCUUGGGAAGGCGAUGCAGGAUGAUGAAACCGAGCCAGGAGAACUGCCUGUUCUG
rnacentral:ncRNA from 1 species